rnacentral:RNase_P_RNA from 2 species
GAAAGUAGGCGCAGGCAGUUGCAGAUUAGCAAUUUAGGCUGGUUUGAGGAAAGUCCGGACUCCCGAAAGACCAAACUUGCUGGAUAACGUCCAGUGCGAGUGAUCGUGAGGAUAGUGCCACAGAAAAAUACCGCCACUUAAAGCGAACAGAUCAUACCUGAUCACUGAUAACUGGUAACUGAACACUGAAAGUGGUAAGGGUGCAAAGGUGCGGUAAGAGCGCACCAGCAGUAUCGAGAGGUGCUGGCUCGGUAAACCCCGGUUGGGAGCAAGGCCGAAGGAACUAUGGUUGGUCUUUUACCAGUUCCGUUCAGGAAGCGCCGCUUGAGGUGUUUGGUAACAAGCAUCCCAGAUAGAUAACUGCCCUCGUCAGAGAACAGAACCCGGCUUAUGUCCUGCUUUCUCUU